GAACGGGUGAGUAACGUGGGCAAUCUGCCCUGCACUCUGGGACAACCCUGGAAACGGGUAAUACCGGAUACUACCAUCUUGGGCUUAUGGUCGAAAGUCCGGCGGUGCAGGAUGAGCCCGCGGCCUAUCAGCUAGUUGGUGAGGUAAUGGCUCACCAGGCGACGACGGGUAGCCGGCCUGAGAGGGCGACCGGCCACACUGGGACUGAGACACGGCCCAGACUCCUACGGGAGGCAGCAGUGGGGAAUAUUGCACAAUGGGCGAAAGCCUGAUGCAGCGACGCCGCGUGAGGGAUGACGGCCUUCGGGUUGUAAACCUCUUUCAGCAGGGAAGAAGGACGGUACCUGCAGAAGAAGCGCCGGCU
rnacentral:rRNA from 1 species